GCAGAUGUCCAGGCAGCUACAUCAGAUGGGCCACUGCCAGCCACGGAGGUGUGGGCUUAUGCAAAGCGAGGGCUACUGCCUGGGGACCCAGUGCCUGGAUGGGGCAGACGCAGGGGCCCAACGCUACCAUUUACAAGCUGUGGGAUUUUUUUGCCAAAUGACUUGAGUGUCUCAGAACUUCAGUGCGCUCCGCCCACGAGGAGGUAACAACACUUCCCCCGGCUGAUGCUUGUAAGCGUACAAUAAAGUAAAUGCAUUUGUCACACAGAUGACUUCACUGAUCUCCCUUUCCGCAUCUGUAGACCUGGCCCUCCUUUGCAGAAAGAACAGAGUACGGUCCUCUUGCACAAGCCCUGGAGACUAAGGAAUGAUCUUUUUGUACAACCUGCCCAAACCCCAGGCACCAAGGAACUAGAACUUCUUGUACAACGUCUGCGCACUGAGCUGACUCAGUAGCUGGCAUCACGGACUCUGUGCCUAAGCCAGAAAUGUCUCAGAUCACUGUGCUCCCUUAACUGAUUAAACCCCUUUAAAAAUCUCCAGGCCAGGCAGAAACCUGGGAGUUGGACUUUGGACAAGAAUCCACCUUCACCGCCAAGUGGCCCUUCAUGUGAUUUUCUCAGAAACCCAAAUCAUCCACUUCCUUAGUGUUGUAUCAAACAGCAACAAUAUCAGUUCAAAUUAGAGGAAAUCUAUGCCAACACCGCUUCUUUUUUUUU